UGGGGAAUAUUGCACAAUGGGCGCAAGCCUGAUGCAGCCAUGCCGCGUGUGUGAAGAAGGCCUUCGGGAUGUAAAGCACUUUCAGCGGGGAGGAAGGCGAUAAGGUUAAUAACCUUGUCGAUUGACGUUACCGACAGAAGAAGCACCGGCUAACUCCGUGCCAGCAGCCGCGGUAAUACGGAGGGUGCAAGCGUUAAUCGGAAUUACUGGGCGUAAAGCGCACGCAGGCGGUUGAUUGAGUCAGAUGUGAAAUCCCCGGGCUUAACCCGGGAAUUGCAUCUGAUACUGGUCAGCUAGAGUCUUGUAGAGGGGGGUAGAAUUCCAUGUGUAGCGGUGAAAUGCGUAGAGAUCUGGAGGAAUACCGGUGGCGAAGGCGGCCCCCUGGACGAAGACUGACGCUCAGGUGCGAAAGCGUGGGGAGCAAACAGG
rnacentral:rRNA from 1 species